GUUUUUGUGAACUGUAUGAAUUGUUCUAUUUUACAUUUGCAAGCUGGGUAGUAUUAAAUUAACCCUGUCAUGCUGUCAAAAUUUUAUUGUAUGGUGGGUAUUGCUUACUGCAGUGGGCUGGGUUUUGUGGACUAGCCUAUUAGAGGGGUAUUGAAUCCUGACAUAUUUUACCUCGAUUGGAGAGGCGAGUAGGGUAACUCCUGAGGUAUAACUUUUAGAGUUCACUUCACGCCAAACCACCACGUGAGGGGGAACUCGGCCAAUGCCAAGGAACGACUAUAUUUUCUAAAUAAAAACAUGAUUUAUGAGUAUAUAACUUUUUAAUAGCCUUGGUGGACUCGGUUUGGGAUAGCCCUCGGCUAAGGUAUCCCUAAUAACUGAGUAUAAAAAUAAUUUUUGGCAUGAGCCAAGUUUUAAGAAAUUCAUAAGCCAUGUUGAUUACUCGAUUUAAAUGAAUUGAAUUUUAUUUGGUUGAAAUGAGUUGAAAGAUAAUAAAUUAAAGUAUUAUGAUUUAUUUUAUCUGUCUCCAUUUACUCGACUUUAGAUAUUUUAAAUGGUAAUUGUUUACUCACUGGGAUUUUAUAAUCUCACCACCCUUCUUUCCACCCAUUUUAGGCUCAGAAUAGACUGUAGAUAGCUGAUCGCAUCGAGGACUACCAUUGGAAUUGCAUUUUCCAAAUUGUAGGUUCACAGUCUUCUUUACUUUUGAAUAUUCAGGGGUCCCACUUGUUACUGUAAAUUAAAUUUCAUACUCCAGUUAUCUGUACUACUGUAUAUA
rnacentral:lncRNA from 1 species